UGCGUAGGCGGAAUAUUAAGCCAGUGGUGAAAUCCUGCGGCUCAACCGUAGAACUGCCAUUGAUACUGUUAGUCUUGAGUUCGGUUGAGGUAGGCGGAAUGUGUAAUGUAGCGGUGAAAUGCUUAGAUAUUACACAGAACACCAAUUGCGUAGGCAGCUUACUAGACCGAUACUGACGCUGAGGCACGAAAGCGUGGGGAGCGAACAGGAUUAGAUACCCUGGUAGUCC
rnacentral:rRNA from 1 species